UCACUUUUAGUAGAGCUUAAUCCAGCUCUGGUGUGGAUGGCUUGCAGCGGUAUUAUCCCCGCUUAUAGGAUAUAUGGUGAGCUUCCUCUUCAGUAUGAUGACCGGCAACCAGGUGGAAGAUGAAACGAAAAAGCAAUAAUAGUGCAAUAUGUCCCAAAAAGUAGAUAAAAGGUAUGAAAAAUAUAAAAGGUACACUCACAUUUAAUAGAGCUUAUACUAGCUCUAGUGUAGUAGGCAUGCAACGGUAUGAUCCCCCGUAUCUGGGAUAUGCGGUGAGCGUUCGUUAGUACAGUUCUUUAGGGUGGUAGCAGGAGCUCAGGAAGAAGAUAAUAAAACAGCAAUAGUGCUCUCAGUAAAAUAAUGCUGAUUAAUAAAAUAAAAUAAAAUAUACUCACA